AUUGAGCGCUGGCGGCAUGCCUUACACAUGCAAGUCGAACGGCAGCACGGGUGCUUGCACCUGGUGGCGAGUGGCGAACGGGUGAGUAAUACAUCGGAACAUGUCCUGUAGUGGGGAUAGCCCGGCGAAAGCCGGAUUAAUACCGCAUACGAUCUACGGAUGAAAGCGGGGGACCUUCGGGCCUCGCGCUAUAGGGUUGGCCGAUGGCUGAUUAGCUAGUUGGUGGGGUAAAGGCCUACCAAGGCGACGAUCAGUAGCUGGUCUGAGAGGACGACCAGCCACACUGGGACUGAGACACGGCCCAGACUCCUACGGGAGGCAGCAGUGGGGAAUUUUGGACAAUGGGCGAAAGCCUGAUCCAGCAAUGCCGCGUGUGUGAAGAAGGCCUUCGGGUUGUAAAGCACUUUUGUCCGGAAAGAAAUCCUUGGCCCUAAUACGGUCGGGGGAUGACGGUACCGGAAGAAUAAGCACCGGCUAACUACGUG
rnacentral:rRNA from 1 species